rnacentral:rRNA from 1 species
CUAUACAUGCAGUCGAGCGGACGUUUUUGAAGCUUGCUUCAAAAACGUUAGCGGCGGACGGGUGAGUAACACGUGGGCAACCUACCUUAUCGACUGGGAUAACUCCGGGAAACCGGGGCUAAUACCGGAUAACAUCUAGCACCUCCUGGUGCCGGAUUAAAAGAGGGCUUCUUGCUCUCACGAUGAGAUGGGCCCGCGGCGCAUUAGCUAGUUGGAGAGGUAACGGCUCCCCAAGGCGACGAUGCGUAGCCGACCUGAGAGGGUGAUCGGCCACACUGGGACUGAGACACGGCCCAGACUCCUACGGGAGGCAGCAGUAGGGAAUCUUCCGCAAUGGACGAAAGUCUGACGGAGCAACGCCGCGUGAGUGAUGAAGGGUUUCGGCUCGUAAAGCUCUGUUAUGAGGGAAGAACACGUACCGUUCGAAUAGGGCGGUACCUUGACGGUACCUCAUCAGAAAGCCACGGCUAACUACGUGCCAGCAGCCGCGGUAAUACGUAGGUGGCAAGCGUUGUCCGGAAUUAUUGGGCGUAAAGCGCGCGCAGGCGGCCUUUUAAGUCUGAUGUGAAAUCUUGCGGCUCAACCGCAAGCGGCCAUUGGAAACUGGGAGGCUUGAGUACAGAAGAGGAGAGUGGAAUUCCACGUGUAGCGGUGAAAUGCGUAGAUAUGUGGAGGAACACCAGUGGCGAAGGCGACUCUCUGGUCUGUAACUGACGCUGAGGCGCGAAAGCGUGGGGAGCAAACAGAUUAGAUACCCUGGUAGUCCACGCCGUAAACGAUGAGUGCUAGUGUUAGAGGUUUCGAUGCCCGUAGUGCCGAAGUUAACACAUUAAGCACUCGCCUGGGGAGUACGCCGCAAGCUGAACUCAAGAAUUGACGGGGCCCGCACAGCAGUGGAGCAUGUGGUUUAUUCAAGCAC